GUGGGGAAUCUUGCGCAAUGGGCGAAAGCCUGACGCAGCCAUGCCGCGUGAAUGAUGAAGGUCUUAGGAUUGUAAAAUUCUUUCACCGGGGACGAUAAUGACGGUACCCGGAGAAGAAGCCCCGGCUAACUUCGUGCCAGCAGCCGCGGUAAUACGAAGGGGGCUAGCGUUGCUCGGAAUUACUGGGCGUAAAGGGCGCGUAGGCGGACAGUUUAGUCAGAGGUGAAAGCCCAGGGCUCAACCUUGGAAUUGCCUUUGAUACUGGCUGUCUGGAGUACGGGAGAGGUGAGUGGAACUCCGAGUGUAGAGGUGAAAUUCGUAGAUAUUCGGAAGAACACCAGUGGCGAAGGCGACUCACUGGCCCGUUACUGACGCUGAGGCGCGAAAGCGUGGGGAGCAAACAGGAUUAGAAACCCUAGUAGUCC
rnacentral:rRNA from 1 species